rnacentral:lncRNA from 1 species
CAGUGAUGCAGAUGCUCAUCCUGUCCAUUUCUCCUGCCAGGCAGUGUGGCCGGCUCCCCUGCAUAAUAACAGCCCCAAGGGAGUGACUCCCUCCUGCAUCCCCAAAGACAAUAACAUGGGGCUCAGGUCUGCCAGGCUGCCGUCCCCAGGGCAUGGGGUCAUGCAGGAACUUCAUCAAGCAGGAGGUCUGCCAGCUGCACGGGCACAUCCUGCUCCCUGCCUCUCCCCAUCACACCCCGCUGCCUUCACACCCUCUGUCCCCCAGCUCCACAUGCCCGGAUUCUGCACACCCUCCCCACAGGCAUGGUGCUGGCAGUGGCGGCCGUCGGCCUCGUCCUCCUGGCUGCAGGCAGCUGGUUUGCCAUCAGGAAAGGUGCCUGCAGAGGAAGAUGCCCAAGGCAGCAGCACGUUGACAGCCCACAGACGGAAGACACCAACUAUGGUGACAUCCAGUACUCCACCAUCGCCCAUGUUCGACGGGACAGGGUGAGUCAUGGCACAGCUGUGCACACCUCCUUUCUGCACUCCUGCAGCCUGGUGCACGCUCAUUGUGCAGGGCUCACAGUCAGCAGCUGAAGUAACAGGGUUUCUUUUCUCCCUAAAGCCUCGUCCCAUGCAGCACAUGAGAAACACCACGACAUAUGCCAUGGUGACCCGCACCCAGACCCGAUAGCGCUGCCACAGGGCAAGGGCACAGGAGCCUUGUCCACAGCUGCCUUUGCUCUCCUGCAGAGGGCUCCUGCAGCCAUAACGUGGGGCUGGGGGUUGCACUUUGGUCUUCUUUGGGGUUUGUUAUCACAGGGAAGGGCUGUGAGUGUCUAGCCAAGUCGAUGUAGGACUCAUACCUCCAUCUACAAUACAUUAAUACUUCCAAAAUAUAUGAGCUAUACCAAAUCUUACUGUGAGUGUAUUGAUUUUUUCUCAAAAGAAGAAAACCUCUCGCUGUGCUCAGUGGAUGAUGUGUACACAUAAGUUGCAUUAUAAUGUCAUGGGGGUAUUAUUCUACCCACCCACGGAGAUGCCC